rnacentral:rRNA from 1 species
UGGGGAAUAUUGGACAAUGGGCGCAAGCCUGAUCCAGCCAUGCCGCGUGUGUGAAGAAGGCCUUUUGGUUGUAAAGCACUUUAAGCGAGGAGGAGGCUACUUGGAUUAAUACUCUAGGAUAGUGGACGUUACUCGCAGAAUAAGCACCGGCUAACUCUGUGCCAGCAGCCGAGGUAAUACAGAGGGUGCGAGCGUUAAUCGGAUUUACUGGGCGUAAAGCGUGCGUAGGCGGCUUCUUAAGUCGGAUGUGAAAUCCCUGAGCUUAACUUAGGAAUUGCAUUCGAUACUGGGAAGCUAGAGUAUGGGAGAGGAUGGUAGAAUUCCAGGUGUAGCGGUGAAAUGCGUAGAGCUCUGGAGGAAUACCGAUGGCGAAGGCAGCCAUCUGGCCUAAUACUGACGCUGAGGUACGAAAGCAUGGGGAGCAAACAGG